UGGGGAAUAUUGCACAAUGGGCGAAAGCCUGAUGCAGCGACGCCGCGUGAGGGAUGACGGCCUUCGGGUUGUAAACCUCUUUCAGCAGGGACGAAGCGCAAGUGACGGUACCUGCAGAAGAAGCACCGGCUAACUACGUGCCAGCAGCCGCGGUAAUACGUAGGGUGCAAGCGUUGUCCGGAAUUACUGGGCGUAAAGAGUUCGUAGGCGGUUUGUCGCGUCGUUUGUGAAAACCAGCAGCUCAACUGCUGGCUUGCAGGCGAUACGGGCAGACUUGAGUACUGCAGGGGAGACUGGAAUUCCUGGUGUAGCGGUGAAAUGCGCAGAUAUCAGGAGGAACACCGGGGGCGAAGGCGGGUCUCUGGGCAGUAACUGACGCUGAGGAACGAAAGCGUGGGUAGCGAACAGG
rnacentral:rRNA from 1 species